rnacentral:rRNA from 1 species
CGUAAUAGCUCACUAGUCGAGUCGGCCUGCGCGGAAGAUGUAACGGGGCUAAAACUAUGUGCCGAAGCUGCGGAUGUAUACUUUGUAUACGUGGUAGGGGAGCGUUCUGUAAGCCGAUGAAGGUGUGUUGAGAAGCAUGCUGGAGGUAUCAGAAGUGCGAAUGCUGACGUGAGUAACGACAAAACGGGUGAAAAACCCGUUCGCCGAAAGA